rnacentral:rRNA from 1 species
CCUACGGGUGGCAGCAGUAGGGAAUUUUCGUCAAUGGGCGCAAGCCUGAACGAGCGAUGCCGCGUGAGUGAAGAAGGCCUUCGGGUCGUAAAGCUCUGUUGCGGGGGAAAAAAGGCAGCAUCAGGAAAUGGGUGCUGACUGAUGGUGCCCCGCCAGAAAGUCACGGCUAACUACGUGCCAGCAGCCGCGGUAAUACGUAGGUGGCGAGCGUUAUCCGGAAUGAGUGGGCGUAAAGGGUGCGCAGGCGGUCCUGCAAGUCUGGAGUGAAACGGAUGGGGUCAACUCAUGCAUGGCUUUGGAAACUGGAGGGCUGGAGAGCAGGAGAGGGCGGUGGAACUCCAUGGGUAGCGGUAAAAUGCGUAGAUAUAUGGAAGAACACCAGUGGCGAAGGCGGCCGCCUGGCCUGUUGCUGACGCUGAGGCACGAAAGCGGGGGGAGCAAAUAGGAUUAGAUACCCCUGUAGUC